CGGACUAAAAAGGAAAUAGGUUCACAUAAAUUGAAACAGAGGGAGUACUUCUUAUGCAAAAGCAACUAAAAUAAGAUGUCCAGUAGAAUAAAAUGGUCUAGAAUAAUAACACCUAGGAGGUGGUUGUCACGUCCUAAACUACCCCUAGACGUGACUGGCACCCAGCUAAUACCACCUGUCGGGCGAACUAUACUUACUUACCUUAGCCAUUAAUUUGCAGCAUUUGAUUAAUUAAAUGAGUACCCAAAUAAUCUGAUAACUAUUACGAACAAUUAAUAUCUCAAAAUAUUAGAUUAAAACUCUAGCCCAAAUCUCACACUAGACCAUGGAGCAUCUAAGAUAAUUACAAAAGCUCUCAUAUAAAUAAAUCAUAAACACUCUUUGGGCAGCCUCCACGAAUAAUGUGGCGGCUCACCUCAAUAACUGGAUCAACUCUAGCGAACUCAUCGGCUACUAGCUUCGUCUUCAUCAAUAGUAUCUGCAUGGACAUGCAAGUAAGGAGUGAGUUAUACGUAAAUAUAACCCAGUAAGAUCUUCGACCCGCCACUCUGAAUACCUCUGGAACAAGUGUUAGAAAAUACAAACACACAAUGAGCACACAUAUAAUAUGCACAGAAAUUCUUUUAUAAUAUAAUUACUCUAUAAGGUCCAAAUAAUUAUUCAACAACAAUACUACAUAUAUCUCAACACAAUAUACACUAAGGACUUGUCAUUAACGACAGUGUAGGAAAUUAACCAAACAACCCAAUCAGUGGUGAAGCCAGAAAUGUUUCCAAGGGUGUUCAAACUUGAAAGAACUAAAAAGAAAUUCCCGACAAAGGGUGUUCAAUAUAUAUUUUAUACAUCUAAAAUCAGUAUUUUACUUAUAUACACAGUGUAAUUUUUCGUAAUAUUUCGGUGAGACCACUCUUUGUAAAAGGUGGCUUCGCCCCUGACCCCAACAAGUCCACGAUAGCAUACACAAUUCCCCAAAUCUAUCACGGCGGCAUACACAAUGUCCCAAAUCUAUCACGGCGGCAUACACAAUGCCCCAAAUCUAUCACGGCGGCAUACACAAUGCCCCAAAUAUAUACCGGCGGCAUACACAAUGCCCCAAAAUCUAUUACGGCGGUAUACACAAUGCCUCAAAUAUAUUACGGCAGCGAAGAAAUAAUUUCUAACGCUCCAACGCCAUAGCACAAGGCUACGCCAUAUCACACCUACACUAUAAAUCACUUAUUAAAUAAUUUUAAUUUUUUACAAAAUAAUAUAUAUUUGCAGCUGGCCAAAGACCACCGAUUUUGCCAAGUACAUGCUCGUUCCAACACAUGGACCAGGUAGAAAAAAACAUACUUCCAAAAUGUAUUUUAAAAAAACAAGCAUCAAAGCUUAAAGGAAAAUUCCCCAAUCUUGCAAUGCCUAGAACACUAACCAAACUGCCUCCAAUGGCUUCAUUCAAAAUAUUGAAUAACACUUCCUAAUUAAUCUAGGUGAAUAAUUUUCAUAAUCUUUGAACAAGUCAAAAUCAAAGUAAACCCCUGGUCCAAUUACUAAAAAUCUGUACAAAUUAGCAGACGACAGAACAUGAAUGCCGCAGCAAUGCAGCUGUAGAAUGCAUUACAAUGCCUUAAUUUACCCAAUCUCAUUAUAAACCAUUCUAAUCAUUGAAUCAUCAUUACUUUAUCUAUAAAUUAUGGGCUAAUCAUUAAUUAAUCACUGAAAGUCCAAUUUGGUGCCCUAAAAAUCUAGACUUUGUAGUAGUAGAAGUCAGUAAUUCUUUUCUUAAAAACUAUGCAACGAAACAUAUCCCUAAUCCCUUAAUUAUUACUUUAAAAAAUUCUAUUCAAAAUCCUUACCAAAAUCACUACACAUACCUGAAGCCUACAAGUUUAUUCCCUUCCUUGGCUUCGUCAGAAAUGACACCACAAUUUGAGCUCGUUUACGCUGCCGCGUCAGUUUUCUUCUGAAGUCCUCCUUUUUUUUUCUUUUCUUUUUUUUGUUUUAUUCCUAAUGAUGAACAGACCUAACACUUAUAUCCUCUAAGGUCAAUCUGACACAUGACCUUUCACAGUAGGGAAGAAAUUUAAAAAUAGCCAGA
rnacentral:lncRNA from 1 species